AUACUUACCUGGCAGGGGAGAUACCAUGAUCACGAAGGUGGUUUUCCCAGGGCGAGGCUUAUCCAUUGCACUCCGGAUGUGCUGACCCCUGCGAUUUCCCCAAAUGUGGGAAACUCUACUGCAUAAUUUGUGGUAUUGGGGGACUGUGUUCGCGCUCUCCCCUG
ensembl:snRNA U1 U1 spliceosomal RNA